rnacentral:rRNA from 1 species
CGGGGUGCAGCAGGCGCGAAAACUUUACAAUGCUGGCAACAGCGAUAAGGGGACCUCGAGUGCCAGGAUACAAUCUUGGCUGUCGUGAUGCCUAAAAAGCAUUACAUAGCAAGGGCCGGGCAAGACCGGUGCCAGCCGCCGCGGUAACACCGGCGGCUCGAGUGGUAACCGCUAUUAUUGGGUCUAAAGGGUCUGUAGCCGGCCGGAUAAGUCUCUUGGGAAAUCCAGCAGCUCAACUGUUGGGCUUCCAGGGGAUACUGUUCGGCUCGAGGCCGGGAGAGGUGAGAGGUACUUCAGGGGUAGGGGUGAAAUCUUGUAAUCCUUGAAGGACCACCAGUGGCGAAGGCGUCUCACCAGAACGGUCCUGACGGCAAGGGACGAAAGCUAGGGGCACGAACCGGAUUAGAUACCCGGGUAGUCCUAGCCGUAAACGAUACUCGCUAGGUGUCAGCCACGGUGCGACCGUGGUUGGUGCCGUAGGGAAGCCGUGAAGCGAGCCACCUGGGAAGUACGGCCGCAAGGCUGAAACUUAAAGGAAUUGGCGGGGGAGCA